UAACCUGCCUUAUAGUGGGGGAUAGCCUUUCGAAAGGAAGAUUAAUACCGCAUAAGAUUGUAGUAUCGCAUGAUAUAGCAAUUAAAGGAGCAAUCCGCUAUAAGAUGGACCCGCGUCGCAUUAGCUAGUUGGUGAGGUGAUGGCUCACCAAGGCGACGAUGCGUAGCCGACCUGAGAGGGUGAUCGGCCACAUUGGGACUGAGACACGGCCCAGACUCCUACGGGAGGCAGCAUGA
rnacentral:rRNA from 1 species